UAUUACCAGAAGCGACGGCAGAAUGAAGGUCAGGCUAAAGACCUUACUAGACAAGCCGAGAGGUGGUGCAUGGCGAUCGUCAGUUCGUGGUGUGAACUAUCCGGUUAAGUCCGGUAACGAACGAGACCCUCAUUUACAGUUGCCACUGGAUUAGCGAUAAUUCAAGCACUCUGUCAAGACCGCCUUCGUUUAAGAAGGAGGAAGGAGAGGGCAACGGUACGUCAGUAUGCCCCGAAUCUCCAGGGCUACACGCGGCAUACAUAGGCUGGCACAAUGGGCUGCAACUCAGAGAUGAGGAGCCAAUCCCUAAAACCAGUCCCGGUCCGGAUUGAGGGCUGAAACUCGCCCUCAUGAAGUUGGAAUCCCUAGUAAUCGCUUGUCACUAACGAGCGGUGAAUACGUCCCU
rnacentral:rRNA from 2 species